rnacentral:lncRNA from 1 species
GGGUAGUUAUGUCUUUUCCCAUUGUGUUUAGUAUUUUUCCUAUUUCUUUUAUUUUUUUAAAGGGUUCAUCACUUAACAGAGUUAGAACCACGGGUAGACGGAGGCUUCGUCUACGAAAAGGAGGGGCAAAAUCACAAAGUUCAAAAAUUGAGGGCAAAAUCACCAUUAGACUUCACGAUAGGGGCAAGAUCACCAAUCUUCCUUUUUUGAACCUACAUUGAUAAUAAACCUCUUGAAUAACCAAAAAGUUUUUUUUGUUGUCUUUCAUUUUCUUUUGCGUACAGAGCCAGAUCCAGAGACUCACAUACACGCAACCACACUCA